rnacentral:rRNA from 1 species
AACGAUCGCUGGCGGCAGGCUUAACACAUGCAAGUCGAACGCCCCGCAAGGGGAGUGGCAGACGGGUGAGUAACGCGUGGGAACAUACCCUUUUCUACGGAAUAGCUCUGGGAAACUGGAAUUAAUACCGUAUACGCCCUACGGGGGAAAGAUUUAUCGGGGAAGGAUUGGCCCGCGUUGAAUUAGCUAGUUGGUGGGGUAAAGGCCUACCGAGGCGACGAUCCAUAGCUGGUCUGAGAGGAUGAUCAGCCACAUUGGGACUGAGACACGGCCCAAACUCCUACGGGAGGCAGCAGUGGGGAAUAUUGGACAAUGGGCGCAAGCCUGAUCCAGCCAUGCCGCGUGAGUGAUGAAGGCCUUAGGGUUGUAAAGCUCUUUCACCGAUGAAGAUAAUGACGGUAGUCGGAGAAGAAGCCCCGGCUAACUUCGUGCCAGCCGCCGCCGUAA